GACGAACCGUGCGAACGUUAUUCGGAAUCACUGGGCUUAAAGCGCGUGUAGGCGGGCCGGCACGUCGACGGCUGAAAUCCCGCGGCUCAACCGCGGAACCGGCCUCGAUACGACCGGCCUGGAGGGGGUAGGGGGCGCCGGAACUCACGGUGGAGCGGUGAAAUGCGCAGAUAUCAGGAGGAACAGCCGGUGGCGAAGGCGGGUCUCUGGGCCGAUACUGACGCUGAGGAGCGAAGCGUGGGAGCGAACAGG
rnacentral:rRNA from 1 species